rnacentral:lncRNA from 1 species
AUGUGCUGUCCUGGUUGCUAGGUGCAGAUUUAGGUUCCAAGCAGAACACUCCUAGUGUUCUCUGCAGUUUGUUGCAGAAUCAGAAUGUCUUGGCAACCAAAGGCAGAUCUGGUGCUAUGGAGGACCUGCUUACUGCUAUGAGGUGUUACUUUAUACAGGUCCUGGAGAAGCUGAUUGAGGCCAAGUCACUGUUGCAAGGAGACACGAGACUCACAUCAGAGUUCUAUGGCUUAACAUGGGAGAUGGUGGAAACAGAGAAACACUUCACCAUGAAAACAGAUGAACUAAGGGACUGAGCCAGUGCCACUGAAAAAACUAUGGAAAUAGUCACUUUGGAAAUAAGGAGAUACAAUGGGUAAGAUAUAUAGCUGCACAUUUAACUGACAAGUGAGAUGACAAACUUUCUACAUAC